UACAGAGGGUGCAAGCGUUGUUCGGAAUUAUUGGGCGUAAAGGGCGCGUAGGCGGUGCCACAAGUCACCUGUGAAAUCUCCGGGCUUAACUCGGAGCCUGCAGGCGAAACUGUGGUGCUGGAGUGUGGGAGAGGUGCGUGGAAUUCCCGGUGUAGCGGUGAAAUGCGUAGAUAUCAGGAGGAACACCUGUGGUGUAGACAGCUUACUGGACCAUUUCUGACGCUGAGACACGAAAGCGUGGGUAGCAAACAGG
rnacentral:rRNA from 1 species